AAAAAGUUGAACUACGUUAUGACUUGAUCCCUAUAUUAUAAAGGGUACGUAGGCAGCUUAAGGAAAACCUUAAGCCCAGUCCAGCAAAAAAAAGUUGAACUACGUUAUGACUUGAUCCCUAUAUUAUAAAGGGUACGUAGGCAGCUUAAGGAAAACCUUAAGCCCAGUCCAGCAAAAAAAAAGUUGAACUACGUUAUGACUUGAUCCCUAUAUUAUAAAGGGUACGUAGGCAGCUUAAGGAAAACCUUAAGCCCAGUCCAGCA
rnacentral:lncRNA from 1 species